AUGCACUUGAAAAGUCAUUAUAAGCCUUUCUUUCUUGCUCCCCUCAAAAAGUCAGCAUUUGGUUGGCUCUGUCAUGCCCGGUGCUCGUGUCGUAGGGAUUCUGUGCUGUAUGAAAGCAGCUGUCUCUUUUCUACGUGUCCAGCUCCAAAGAAAGCCGUGGAAAAUUGGACUCCUUUCUUCGCAAAAGCAGCUGAUCGCUUUCAAAAUGCGGUCUCUUGAAAUGUGAAGAUAUGUGACGGGAGCCUCGGGAGAGAAGACAGCAGCCGGCAGGUGAGAUCGCAAAGCCGCCUCAGGUGGGCCCGUGGACUGGAUGUCCUUGCUGGGGUGUGUGUGACACAGACAGCUGGGGCAGGAAUCGCUUCUGUCUGUGCUUCGGUGCACCUGUCGCACCUGUCUGAGGGCUGAGGGCAGGGCCCCAGCGUGGGGUUGCUCAGGCUCACCUGGCGGGCGAGCUCUUUUUCUCCCACCCCUUAUAGCCUGCUCUGGAAUCUUCUCUGACUCUGAGACCAGCUCGCUGGUGGGGGAGGGGAGGGCAGAAUCGCAGUCUCACGUUUGCGAAGCUUCAGGCAAAGGUUCUCUCUGCUCCAUCCUGGCGGUCUGCUUUGUUCCUGUGUGUCUGGGUGGGGUGGGGGGUGGGGCGCCCGGGCGCCUCCCCUCCCCCCUGAAGCCAGAAAUCCCUGGGGUGGACCCAGUGUGAGGGCAGGCAGGGGAGGGAGCAGGGCCAGCUCAGGGACUUGAUGCUGGGUUGGGGAGUGACAAGGUCUGAUUUCUACUUGAGAGAAAUCCCAGCCUCCCAGGGGAGCAGAGCCUGGAGGCAGGAAGGCCAGAUUGUCACCCGUCCCAGGGACACAGGCAGGAGGUGACAAGGCUGCAGAGGGACAGCUGUGCUGGGGCUGGAGGAGGGAUCCAGUGUCCCUGGGACCUGGGAGAACCAACUUGGCCUCUUCCGGGACCCCCAUGGCUGCCUCGUGCAUGAUGCGUUUACCACUGUGGUUUGGGGGUCACCUGUGAACGUGGGCCUGUCUGGCCGUGCACACCUUUGCCCUGAGCAUGGUGAGCCUGAUGUCUCGUGGACGGCAGGACGCCGCAGGUGCGUGACCUGGCCGGGUCCAGAGCUGGAGUCCCGCCCCGCCCGCUCCGGGCUCUGCGCUCUGCCCUCCUGGAUGAGUCCUUACUCCCGCAGUGGAGAUUUUCAGGAGUGAAAUUCGAAGUUGCUACUGAUUUGAGUCACCUUUUCUUCUUCUUUCAAUAAUGACUCUUGAGUGAAAAUUAGGCUGCUGUGUGGGUGGCUGUUAAGGGUGCCUCGUUUCCACUUCGGAGAGCUGCCCACACAGCAGAUUUUAGUAGCACUGGAAGUGGGACCUGAUGUUGCCUCCCAGCUGCUAUAUGCCAAUAAAAAGCCCUUAAGCUGAUUAUAAGGAUACCA
rnacentral:lncRNA from 1 species